rnacentral:rRNA from 1 species
UGAGGAAUAUUUCACAAUGGGCGAAAGCCUGAUGCAGCAACGCCGCGUGAGGGACGAAGGCCUUCGGGUCGUAAACCUCUUUUCUGGGGGACGAGUAAGGACGGUACUCCAGGAAUAAGUCUCGGCUAACUACGUGCCAGCAGCCGCGGUAAAACGUAGGAGGCGAGCGUUAUCCGGAUUUACUGGGCGUAAAGCGUACGCAGGUGGCUUCGUUAGUCGGACAUGAAAGCUCCUGGCUUAACUGGGAGAGGUUGUUCGAUACUGCGGGGGUUGAGGUUGGGAGAGGGGCGUGGAAUUCGCGGUGUAGUGGUGGAAGGCGUAGAUAUCGGGAGGAACACCAGUGGCGCAAGCGGCGUCCUGGCCCACACCUGACGCUGAGGUACGAAAGCGUGGGUAGCAAACAG